rnacentral:sRNA from 1 species
UGCAGUAGCUUCACCAGAUUUCGUUGCAUCUGCUGUCUAAGAUUAUUGAGGUUAGCGUUAUUUAUGGUUAAAUAUGAGAGUGUGGGAGAAGUUGUUGUCAGGUACUGCACCCAAACCAGGAGGAUAAAGGAGGCCGCGGGCCCCUCCCUCCGCGCGGGCUCGCACCUCUCCCCAGCCUGGUGCACCUGGGCUGACGCGGGCUCGGGACUCGUGCGGAGCGCCGCGAGCGCGGCGGAGGCAGAGGCGCGCUGACUGCCACCUCCAGCCCGUACCGGAGGGACAGCACGCGCUGUGCAACGGAGACCGUUCUCCUUGGCCGCCGCUCACGGCUCGCGGCGACCACCGCCGUUGAAGCUGCGGGCGGGCAGCCGUGCGUCUCCCGGGACAGCCAGCCCCAGCGGCUGCUCCUCCCGGAUGCCAGGGCCAGGGCGCCGGGCAGCCGCCAGCAGGAGAAUGAAGAGCUCGGUGGGAGGAAGGAGAGAAAAGCUCUUGGGGGCGCCGAAAGCUCAGCCCAGCCGCGAUUUCACCUGUGUACACGAUGGCGAGAGUGAGGCUGAAUUAAUACCUGAUGACUUUGAAGAAAAACCAGAAAGAGAAAAGAAACAUACCAACUUUACUUUGUGCAACGUAUGUAACAUUCAGCUGAAUUCAGCCGCUCAAGCACAAAUCCACUACAAUGGCAAAUCACAUCAAAAGAGAUUAAAACAACUCACCAAUGGGAUGCUGAAAAAUGACAAUGGUGGUACAUGCCAGAGUCCUGCUCUCCCGGCCCUUGUCCGUCCACCAGCCCCUCCUUUGCAACCAUCGCUGGAUAUUAAACCAUUUCUUCCCUUUCCUCUUGACACUGCAGCUGCAGUCAACCUCUUCCCCAAUUUCAAUGCGAUGGACCCAAUUCAGAAAGCUGUAAUAAACCAUACAUUCGGAGUUCCUCUUCCCCAUCGAAGAAAGCAAAUCAUAUCAUGCAA